rnacentral:lncRNA from 1 species
CUUCCUUACAUCGCAAGACAGGGCUGGCCACACUCCAUCCAAAACAAUAGAUGAUAGACUUGUUCUGACAAAACAGAUUCAGUGAAUUAUAAAUGGCCCAGAACACCUACAAAUUUCAGGUUUCAGGUAAGUGAUUGCCUUUCCUUUCACUUAGAAACCUCCCAAUGCUCAUCUUACUGAUAAACUCUAAGUACCAAGCAGGAGACUAAACACCAGACAAACCCAGCCCCGGAUGCCCCGAGGGAGCCCAUCCCAGCACUCACUCCGCUGCACUGAAAUGAUGUCCAGGUCAGUUUAUCCCACUAGACCAAGAACUCCAGCUCUCCAUGUGUGAGUCACCAGUGCUGCCUCUGCAUCGCUGCUUCUAGGAUGGUGCUUCUGCACUUCACAGGAAAUCUGUAUCAAUGUCUGUCAACACUAUAUAUGACAGUGUAACUUAAUGUCUGCACAGAAAACAUCAAUUCUUUGAGGACCAGGGCGGGGUUUAUUAGUCUUUGUCCUCCCACUGCCACUGUCUGGGACACCAGAGGCACUCGGUAGAAGUUGGUGAAGAGAAGGAAAAGGCAGAGGAGAGAGAGGAAAGCAGGACCAACACUGCAGACACAGAUUCCGAGGUGGCUGGAGGAGAGGCAGGGCAGAGAAACUUCCUGGAUGCUGGAAUGGGGUUCACUGUGAUACCUGCUGCUGAAUUUCAAAUGUCAAAGGUGGUGCUUUGCUGACCUUGACCUCUGACUGCCCUUUAGCUUUCCCGACCUCAACACAGGGCACUUAGAAACUGCAAUGUCAAGAAAUUAUGCUUCAUUAAAGCAUGGGAAUGUUAUUUACAUGGACGUCCAUUACUGCAUUUUUUACAUGGGACCGGCUCCCACCCGCAGGGCGACCGGCACCACCCAGCGACCCAUGCUUUAUCGCAGCAUGCAUUGGUAGCUGAAGCCCCGGUGCCACACGAGGCCGAGACAAAGCCCAGGCGCAAGGACUCCGGAUCCCGAACUCGGACUCUGCGGAGCCCAGCUCGGAGCCGCCACGCCCAGGGCAGAGAACCCCGCCCGGUCCGGAGAACCCGUCGCCCGUCGCGCCCUCUCACCUCAGGCCGCCCGCUCUGUCGCUCGCUCCUGCGCCGCGGAGCCUGGGCCCACUGGAGCGCAGCUGAGCAGCCGACAGAGACGCGGCAGCCUCAACAAUGGAGCCCGAGCGGGGCCGCCGCGCCGCUUCAGCCCGUGUUCCCCGUUCAGGAUCCAGCUCGGAUCAAGGAGCUGCAGCUGGCGCGGGGCUGCGGCCAGGAAACACAUCAUGCAGGUGCACACGGACCCGCCCCCCGCCCCCAGCGGAGCUGGGCCAGACCCCUCCGGCCAAUGGGGAGCAAGCCGCGGAGAGGGCGGGGCCUGGGGAACAAAGGGAAGUUGGGCGGGGCGGCGCUGGGAUUGGGCGUGCGAGGUCCCGCGGGAGGACCGGACCCAAGAGCUGGCCGGAUCCUGGCCCCCUAGAAGACCCAGCUCAACGUCCACCUGCAGUCUGCUCUACAGGACGCGCUCAUCUCAAGCCCAGAACUCAGGCUUUUAAGGCAGACAGCGAGAGACAGGCUUGCUUUACAAAAAGUGAAACUGAGGUCCAAGGAAUAGGAUUGCCUGUUGCCCGAAGUCACAUAGUCCCAUUCACUCCUUCACCUUGUCAUUCAGCAAACAUUUGGAAGCACUUAUGGUGGGCGUUAGGAGUGAAGUAGGGCCGGGCGCGGUGGCUCCCGCCUGUAAUCCCAGCACUUUGUGGGGCCGAGGCAGGUGGAUCACUUGAGGCCAGGAGUUCGAAACCAGCCUGGCCAACAAGAUGAAACCCCAUCUCUGCUAAAAAUACAAAAACUUAGCCGAUCGUGGUGGCGCGUACCUGUGGUCCCAGCUACUGGGAAGGCUGAGGCAGGAGAAUCGUUUGAACCCUGGAUGUGGAGGUUGCAGUGAGCUGAGAUGGUGCCACUGCAUGCACUCCAGCGUGGGGGACGGAGUGAGACUCUGUCUCCAAAAAAAAAAAAAAAA